UUCAACAUAUUCUACUACUGUCAAUCCCAGAUUCCUGCCCUCCCUAAGAGUAUUCGCUGUGUCAUAAAACGAGUUUUCUACUCAAUCAUGUUCUUUUGAUGGAAAUUGCAUUAAACAACAUAUUGGUUAGCUUGACAUCCGCGCAGAGAUCAGAGUAAGACAGGAGAUCUUAUCUUAACUUGUGUUUGGUCUGAACAGAGGGAGAGGGUUUAGUCGAAAACUUCAUAUAAUAUAUAGAUCAAAAGAGAAAGAAGGAACAUAUUGAGACCCAUCUCUCUCUCUUCUAUGAUAUAUCCUUUGAGCCCCAUCUCUAUUCUUAAAGCGUCUCUUUUGUAUCUCUUCCAACAAAAAAUUUUUCCAGAAGAAGUCAUGAGAGCUGAAGAUCAGACAAUCUUAAGUAGUGAAGGAUAUGUCCAAAUCUAAUCAACAACUGAUCAUAUUGAUCAUCAUCGUGACACAUGAAUCCCUUUCCUCCUCUUGCCACGAAGAGAAACCUGUAAUAUGAUUAAUUAACUAAGUUUAAUAGAUCACUGAAUUAAACCAUAUUAAGAAACUAAACAUGUUUACAGCGUAGUUAUCUUCUUGAUUUGUUUUAUUUUCAAUCUUGAUAUACAAACAUGCAUGCGUUCUACAUACUAGAUCUUUCAAAGGAUUCAUUAUCAAUAUCACAAAUUUGGUUUGAUUACUUCUAAGUUCUAUCUCUACAGACCAGAAGCCGAGGUCAUACCUCUAUCUCCAAAGUCACUUUUGGCCACAAACCGCUUCCUCUGCGAGAGAUAUGUGAAAAAGGUUUCAAAAAGACCAGAAUCUACGGCUUCACCGUCGAGCACAAUCUCCCAUGGAAACUAAAGCAGAGGACGAGCAAAUAAGUAAGAAAACGAGUAUAUGUGGCUCCGGAGAAGAGUUGUGUUCUUCACUAUCGGACAAGUGAAUUCGGUGACCUUACUUCUUUGCUCGGAAACAUGGGGAGAAGAAGUGGA
rnacentral:lncRNA from 1 species